GGCUGUCCAAAGAGAGUGAGUUAUCUCAAUUGAUUGUUCAUAGUUACAGAUUGAACUCCUCGUUCUGUUCUUCCCCCGCUUCUCACUACUGCACUUGACUAGUCUUUA
rnacentral:Y_RNA from 1 species